rnacentral:rRNA from 1 species
GACGAACGCUGGCGGCGUGCUUAACACAUGCAAGUCGAACGGAAAGGCCCCUUUGGGGGUACUCGAGUGGCGAACGGGGGAGUAACACGUGAGUAACCUGCCCUUGACUUCGGGAUAACUUCAGGAAACUGGGGCUAAUACCGGAUAGGAAUCCUUGCUGCAUGGUGGGGGUUGGAAAGCGUCGGCGGUUUUGGAUGGAAUCGCGGCUUAUCAGCUUGUUGGUGGGGUAGUGGCUUACCAAGGCUUUGACGGGUAGCCGGCCUGAGAGGGCGACCGGCCACAUUGGGACUUAGAUACGGCCCAGACUCCUACGGGAGGCAGCAGUGGGGAAUAUUGCACAAUGGGCGGAAGCCUGAUGCAGCAACGCCGCGUGCGGGAUGACGGCCUUCGGGUUGUAAACCGCUUUCAGCAGGGGCGAAGCUUGUGGUGACGGUACCUGCAGAAGAAGCACCGGCUAACUACGUG